GAUGAACGCUGGCGGCGUGCUUAACACAUGCAAGUCGAACGGAACGGCCCUGCCUGUUUGCUGUGCUCGAGUGGCGAACGUGUGUGUGUGACGUGAGUAACCUUACCUCGUCGUUGGGCUACCUUCUGGUGACGGGGGCUAAUUCCGGACGGGUGCUCCUGCUGCAUAGUGGGGGAUUGAAACUUUCGGUGGUGGGGGAUGGGAUCGCGGCUUAUCAGCUUGUCGGGGGGGUAGUGGCUUACCAAGGCUUGGCAGGGUAGCCGGCCUGAGAGGGUGACCGGCCACAUUGGGACGGAGAUACGGCACAGACUCGUACGGGAGGCAGCAGUGGGGAAUAUUGCAUAAUGGGCGGAAGCCUGAUGUAGCGACGCCGCGUGCGGGGUGACAGCCUUCGGGUUGUAAACCGCUUUCGCCUGUGAAGAGGCGUGAGUGACGGUAAUGGGUAAAGAAGCACCGGCUAACUACGUG
rnacentral:rRNA from 1 species